ensembl:snRNA U5 U5 spliceosomal RNA
AUACUCUGUUUUCUCUUCAGAUCGUAUAAAUCUUUCACCUUUUACUAAAGAUUUCCAUGGAGAGGAACAUUUAUGAGUUUUUAAUCAAAUUUGUUUAGUUUUUUAAAAAAG